rnacentral:lncRNA from 1 species
GUUUUGAUAGGAUUAGGAUUCAAAUCGAUCAGACAGAACCCAGCAAGAAUGAAUACCAAAAUUGUCUUUCCAAAGCUGAAACCCUAAAAACCAUAAUUGGGAUAUAUCUGAUCAUUGACCUGCUUGAAUCAAAAAUUUGGAGAGCCUCAGUUUGGAUUUCGAUCAAAGUAAUCCUUGCUUCGGUCUUCGAUUCCACCUUGAACAACAAGAGGAAUAUGAAAUCAACAAUGAAAAACACAAAUGGAAACCGAACAAAGCAGAACAAAGAAGCUCAAAUACCUCAGCCCGAAAUCGUCCCGAAAUCCUUGCUCUGUUCUGGUCUCGAAAUCCUUGAGAACGAAGACAUUGAAAAACACUAAAGAAACUCAAGAGAUCGGAGAGAUCGAUGGAAAAAGAGAGAGCAAAGAGGUAGAGAAAGAGACAAAGAACAGAAAGCACAAAAAGAAUCAGAGAACAGAAGAAGAAGAAGAAGAAGAAGAAGAGAGAUCGAAGCAGCUUUCGAGAGAGAUUGAGAGAGAGAAUUGAAGAGUGGAGAUUGGCUCCAAGAAGGUCCUAGAAAAAGUGAAGAGAGAAGAAAAAAGCCAAGCCCAAGGAGAGAAGAAAAAGCCCAAAGUGAGAAGAAAAAGUCCAGGCCUAACUGACACUGUUCACGGAAACAGUGCCGCGCCAGGCGCUAUAAUAAUAUAGUAAAUUAGGCAUGAGUUAGCUAGGAAUAUGUACAUAAAGAUGCAAUGCAUAUUGCAAGUGAGUAUAGAUAAUAUGUAAAUUAUAUCAUUCUUUUUUUACAUACAAUUAAUAUAAUUAACAAAUAUUCAUCAUCAGUGACCUGGUUGUAUAGAAAAUUUGUAUACUACUAUUGAGAUAUCAAUCCCACAUCGGGAAUAUGAGACAUUGUUUGUGGGUUUAUAAGGGUUUGGGCCACUCAAUCCAUUGCCAAUUGGUUUUGGAUGUGAACCUCAUACUACUUUAUCAUGAUAUCAGAGCGGGUUACCUACUUCCACGUGUGAAGCCUAAAGACCACACGAACUCCACGUCACUCAAAUAAACCCUUAUCUGUGGGUUUAUUAGGGUUUCGGUCAGGAAUAUAGGACAUUGUAUGUGGGUUUAUAAGUAACCAAUUCCAAGUUUCGAACAAGCAACCAAGUUUCGAACAAGCAAAAGUAUACAUGCAGUAGAUUAUGAUAAAUUGGUAAUCAUAAUAUAAUACGGACAUACAUAGGGUUUUGGAUCAUGAAGGAAUUAGAAACCAUAGGCAAACCUGGGGCUGCUUCUUGCCUGAGGGUAUAUUCUUGGAAGGAUGGAAAAUGUUUAGUAUAGGAUUAAAAAUGUUUUAGUAAUAGUAGGUGAAAUUCUACUUAGGCAGAAUAGUGUGAAGCUAAGUGCUUAGUGUCAUUGAUAGAUGCUACUUAAGUUAAUCAAUCUAGCAUGCCUUUCCAGAU